rnacentral:rRNA from 1 species
AGCGAUUUACUUCGGUAAAGAGCGGCGGACGGGUGAGUAACGCGUGGGUAACCUACCCUGUACACACGGAUAACAUACCGAAAGGUAUGCUAAUACGGGAUAAUAUAUUUGAGAGGCAUCUCUUGAAUAUCAAAGGUGAGCCAGUACAGGAUGGACCCGCGUCUGAUUAGCUAGUUGGUAAGGUAACGGCUUACCAAGGCGACGAUCAGUAGCCGACCUGGGAGGGUGAUCGGCCACAUUGGAACUGAGACACGGUCCAAACUCCUACGGGAGGCAGCAGUGGGGAAUAUUGCACAAUGGGCGAAAGCCUGAUGCAGCAACGCCGCGUGAGUGAUGAAGGCCUUCGGGUCGUAAAACUCUGUCCUCAAGGAAGAUAAUGACGGUACUUGA